rnacentral:rRNA from 1 species
UACGGGGGGGGCAAGCGUUGUUCGGAAUUACUGGGCGUAAAGGGCGCGUAGGCGGCCUGCUAAGUCGGAUGUGAAAUCCCUCGGCUCAACCGAGGAACUGCAUCCGAUACUGGCGGGCUUGAAUCCGGGAGAGGGAUGUGGAAUUCCAGGUGUAGCGGUGAAAUGCGUAGAUAUCUGGAGGAACACCGGUGGCGAAGGCGGCAUCCUGGACCGGUACUGACGCUCAUGAGCGAAAGCGUGGGGAGCGAUCCGG